UUGAAUGUGGUAACGGACCAGAUGAAAUUCUAAUAGCCUCUUCGGGCCGGAAUAACAGAAGUCACGACUUUAGAGGCGGUUAGCGACUGUUAAACGUUUGCCUCCAAAUUCCGAACAAAACAGAGGGAGGAGAGGGAAGAUCUCAUUUUCACUUGUCGAACCCUAACCCUAACCCUAAAACCGAAUUGAAGGAUGCAGGAGAAGAAGAAGGAGAUUACGAAGAAGAAGAAGAAGAAGUACGAGUUCGAGUACUGCGUGGUUUGCAAGCUGAAUCACGACCAAGGUCCGAGCCACAAGUACACACCCAGCCACACCAAGUCCCUCUCCGCCUUCCUUACUCGCUUCCAAGCCAAGCUCUCCGAUGUCCGCUUCUUUCUCAAAAACCCUAUCCCUCUCCGCCCCGAACACGCCUCCCGCAACCGCCUCUGGUGCGUUUUCUGCGACUCCGACGUCGACGAGCUCGAUAGCUCCUUCGCCUGUGGCAAUGCAAUUAAUCACCUUGCGAACGCGGAACAUCUGAAGCAUUUGAAGCAUUUCUUGUGGAAAUACGGUGGAGGAAUGGACCGCGUCGAUACAUUCAGAAUUUCGGAAGAUGAACUUGCUAAGUGGGAGAAGAAGUGUAAUUCAUUGAAGCUUGAAGCUGUGCCAUGUGGUGAAGGAUCUCGAGGACCGACAUCUGGACCAUCGAAUGAUAUCCAUACUGAACUGAAAUACGGAAUUAUAGAUACUUUUGAAAAUAAUAGUAGUUCAAGUUUUUCACAUGGUGUUAUGCCUUUACUAUAUCAUACAAAUGAGUAUCAGGUAUCCCAUUCAGGACUCCCUCAAGUUACAAAUGUUGGCUGCUUUUCGCAAGAUGUUGCUACCUCUUCUUAUCAUGGGGGAUCAAGUUCUGGUACAAAUUCCAUAAAUUCAAACGCUUUAACAGUUAUCAGGAGUAACCAACAUUCUUUGGUUUCUAAUGGUAGAAAAUCCUUGGCUGAUGGUUACUUCAGUAAUGAAAGGAUGAGAGAGGGGUCUCAGCAUGAAAGAAUGACAAACGAGCAGAGCAGUUCUCCAGUUUUUCAGAAUCUCACCCAAAUAUCGUCCAUGGGUCCUAAAGAGGCUAGUGGAAAUGUGCACACUGGGGCACCUCCUCCUUGGCUUCAAGCAGAUGAAGAAAUUCAGUGUAGUGUUCCACUGAAACGAGUUUCAGGCAGCCUUAUUCCCCCAUCAAAUAAGUUGGGGAAGUCCAAGAAAUUGAACCCAAACCGUGUGGGAGCAGCUUGGGCAGAAAGGAGAAAGAGGGAGAUGGAGAUGGAGAAAAGAGGGGAAAUUGUCAUGAGUGACUGUGAUGCCAGUUGGCUCCCUAAUUUUGGUAGAGUUUGGCAGUCUGGUAGCCGAAAAGAGUCCAGAAAAGAAUUUGAGUUGGAGAAACAAAAAUUACCUAAGGUUGAAAGUCAGUCGGAUAUGCCAAUUAAGAUACAGCCUUACAUCAGCAAACGAAUGAGAACUGAUUCGAGUCAGUAAUUUUGCCAUGAUGGUUUUUACUGCGGGAGAACCAAUGUGCAUGUUCUCUACUUUUUUCCUCGAGUUUGUGGUGUACGUCUCGUCAAAUGGAGCUGGAAGUAUGAUGGCAGGCAGGUAGCAAACUGAAAUUCAGCCGGAAUUUGAUUAUUAGGCUACUGUACAAAAUAGCUAAUAGAUUGAUGACAUCCUACCCGGUUCCUCUGGUGUGUUCCCGCUUGGUCCAUCCACCACCACCACAUCCCAUUCAAGCUUGUAGACUUCUUGCGGUAGGUUUUUCAACGCAAGUUGACAUUUUGAUUGUUGAAGCAGUUUUGAGCUUGGUGCGCAAUCUGGGUUUUCCCUUGCAUGCUGGAGCAGCUUGUAAGCCUCUUUUGCAGAAAGACGGUGGUGCCGCCUGCAUUGAUUGAUGAGAGAGAAACGUACUGAGGUUCAAGCCCGAAUAUGAGGAGGUUGCAGGGAGCUUUCUGCGAAAUGAGAUUCGACAGCAGUUGGUAUUCCUUUUUCCUGAGGCUGGAGGUGUUGGCAGAGGCAUUUGUUUCUGCCGGAAACUUGGUGCAUAUGAACGGGAAUGAACAUGUAUUUCCAAGAGCAGGAGGAGGAGGAGGAGAAGAAGAUGUAGUUACUGCAAUUCUAACAAGUCUGAGCACCGAAAUGAUGGAAAGGAUCAAAACAAGGAAAGGGAUGAGUUUUGUUUUGGAAAAGUUCAUGGCUUUAGAUCCUCUCGAUUGCUUGGGUCUAUGAGGCUGGUUCUCUUGUUCUUGCGGUGAGACUGCACAAGAGAACGGAAUGAGAGGGGUUACAAAAGAGCGAAAAUGAGGCACUUCGGGGGGCAUUGUUUUUCAGGUUUCUAUCUGCUUUCAGCUCCUCCGCAGCCGCUAUCACAACCCCGUACGGACAUGUCUGGUGGUGGGGCAUUGGAUGGUUGAAGCUGUUAAGCUGAAAGACCACGUGGCGGCUGGCUGGCUGAUUGAGUGAGGAACAAGGAAAAGUUUUUGCUUAGGUUUAAAGGGUUUAUUCUCUUUUUAAUUAUUGAGGUGCUUGUUUGUUUGUUACAUAAUGCAACGCUGCGUUUUGAGAUCCAAUUGCUGUGUGUUAGACCUCUGAAAAUCAAUAACAACAAUUUCUGCUA